rnacentral:tRNA from 2 species
GGGCGCGUAGCUCAGCGGAAGAGCACUCGGCUUACAACCGAGGGGUCGCAGGUUCGAACCCUGCCGCGCCCACCA